UACAGAGGUGUCAAGCGUUGCUCGGUAUCACUGGGCUUAAAGGGCGCGUAGGCUGUGCGGUACGGUUCGGGUGAAAUCCCUACGGCUCAACCGAGGAACUGCCCGGGCGACGGCCGCGCUGGACUGCAUCAGGGGACGAUGGAACUCCGGUGGAGCGGUGAAAUGCGUAGAUAUCGGGAGGAACGCCGGUGGCGAAAGCGAUCGUCUGGGGUGCAUGUGACGCUGAGGCGCGAAAGCUAGGGGAGCAAAACGG
rnacentral:rRNA from 1 species